rnacentral:tRNA from 1 species
GGUGAGAUGGCCGGGCGGUCUAAGGCGCCAGACUGGGGACCAGGGCAUUCUAUGUCCUUCAAUAUGUACCAUUCAUGCGCAAUAUAUCUGUUCCUCCUGGGGGUGGGUUCGAAUCCCACUCUCAUCA